GCGUCUAUAGCUCAAUUGGAAGAGCCAUCCCCUACGAAGGGAUAGGUUGGGAGUUCGAAUCUCUCUAGACGUUC
rnacentral:tRNA from 1 species